AUAAGAAAAAGAAGUUCUUGUUUGUCGGGUCUAUGUGUUGAAUGUCCUCCUCGUUCUCAGUUUUCCUGUGGAUUAUUAAAGACUGUGUUAUUCAAGUACUCCUCGUUUCC